rnacentral:lncRNA from 1 species
GAAGGAGAAAAGAAACUCCCUGAGUCAAUUGGGAGGGUAGGUGGGGUGGACCAAAGACUUCUCCCCCACCACUGCAUCCAACAAAGAAGGAUUGCUGAGGAAAGGUUUCAGUCUAUGCCCGUUCACCUUGAAGUUUUUAGCUGCAGGUGGACCCUGGAUCUCUACUACACCAUAAGGAUAAACAUUAGUCACAACAAAAGGUCCAAUCCACUUUGAUCUCAACUUACCACCC